GCGCACAACCCCGGGACUGCCUUUCCUCAUCCGCCCGGGCCCGGCCUCCUCGCCUCCAUUCGCCGGGAGCGCGGCCAGGGGCGGCGCCAUGAGAAACCCUCUCUGUGCCUAGCAAAGAGACACUUCCAGGGGCGGCCUAUUUGAAAGACUAAGGUGAAGGAGCUAGUGGGCUGAAGGCGGCCGGCUACGAGGAGCUAUGAUUCCUAACAGAGAAGUACCUAGAAGUGAAGCCUCUCCCUUCUGCAGUUCACGUGAGCCGUCUUUCCGGCACGUCCAAUAUCCGGGGCCUGGAGGUCAGCUCCGAAGGGCGAAGGCAAGGCCGAUUCUGAAGACCCUGAAGCUGAGAGACAGAAAGGCCAGGUGGUGACAGCUCCUGGCGGCAGAACUGGGAUUUAAAGUCAUCUUCUGCUUCCCUUCUUCAGCCAAAUGCUUGGUGUGGCACCCUGUACAGAGACCACACUGCUUUGGGCUGAGGCGACAUUGCCCGCUGGAGCUGGCUACGUUUGGCGUCAAAGCUGUGGCCAGAGGAAAGGAAUUCACGCGUCGGGGGUCACUCUGGUACUCGAUGGACCGUGGUACCGGAAAAUGCCCCAAUAGAAUAUGGUAGCGACCUGCCUUCGCGACCACCAUUCAAAUACAGUCGGAAACUCGCCGUUCUCUUCCUCCGGUUGAUCAUAUCAAGCCUCUCAGAGUGUGACCUGGCCACUGCAUGAGUUGGUUCCUGUGCUGAAAGAAGCGUACUCUGAGAAGCUAAGCACGUUUAUGGAAUUUAUACAUUGCCUCAGAUACUCAGCAGCCUUCUGGAUCAUCUAACCCGGAGCAACUCUCCAUGUGGUGGUAGGGAUGUGGUCAUUAUUUAAGAAUAAGAAAGUUGAAACUGGGUAACUGGUAGCCGGUGCUUUUUCUAUUGAGUUAGUCAGUGACUUUCUGAGUCGUCACAGCCGUUGAGCUGCACACACACUCACACUCCUGAGCUAGAAAUUCCUCAACACCAGCAGGAUUAAAGUGACUUACAGAAGUGCCCUCUUUUCCACAAUGCUCUGAGUUCUAAGUAGACAAAGUCAGAAUCUUGUUCUUUGUUACUCUUAAAUAUCUAGAAACUGCAGUCGUGAUAGGAAAAACAGUAACACAAAGUACCAGUAACAGCAUAAAACACUUCAAGGACAUUAUCCAAUUUAGUCUUCUAACCAACCUUAUGUGACUGAUCAUCUCACUUUCUGAAUGGGGGUGCUUAAGCUCAGUCCAGUUAGAAACUGCUUCUAAAUUGCUUUAGAGAAUCCAGUAUAUUGACUUUGAAACCCACUUAUCGUAACCACCAUGCUACACAACUACUCUUAGACAUAGCAACUGUUCAAAACAAAGUAAUGGCAAAAAAAAAAAUUUUUUUUUUCUUUUUUUUUUUUUGCUUUUCCCCUUGCCCUUGUAACCCACCCCUUCCAAGAAAGAAAUGGUCUUUCUACGUCGAGAGUCACAAUGGUCCAUUCUAUCAUAAUUCACUUCUUUUACAAAUGUGAGGCACAGGGCUUGUGUGGCUUUAUAAUCUAAAUGUGGACAGAGCAUAGGCCUUGGAGUCAGAGACGUCUCUCUGGAACCCUGGCGCCACCUCUUGGCAGCUGUGUGAUGUAACCAAGUUGUUUCACCUUGCCAGUGUAUCCUUCUUCAUCUAUAAAACUAAGGUCACUCUACCUCACAGAUAAGUCAUUGAAGCUUAAAGGAGUUCACUGUGGAAAGUAUGGGGCCCAUGGAAGGCAGUUAAUUCAAGGGAAUUUUUAGCUGAGAGAGAUGAGACUUGACCAACAAAUGCUUCCUAGCAUGUUCUAAUUUCUUGAAGCAGUGAAAAAUGCCAUAAGUAUGUAAUUUUUUAUUUUUGGAGAUACCUUGAAGGUUGGGGUAUGGUCUUCACCUCUUCAGAAUCCCAUCCCUUGGAUAUUUGGGUAUUUUCCACUCCCAUAUCCCUGGUGCCCCCCCUCACUCGCCCAAGUUGACUAACCAAUAUUUCUAGAACAUAUAUAGAAUGCUUAAUGCUCUAAAAAAAAAAUGCUUAAUGCUCUCAGGUUGAUCUGAAUCUUAAGACUGAGACUGCAAUUGUUUUUGGCUUCUUCUCAUGCUGGAUUUUCUUCUACCACUGAGGGGGGUUCUGCUGAUUUGUAAUCAGAGUCAGUAACAAAAAAAAUAUGUUAGGCCUUUGGAAAAGAUGUGAGACCACCUCUCACUCAUAUAGGUGAUGUGAUUGUGAGAGCUGAAAGGGUCCUGCACUUCAUGAACAAGUAGUGAGACGUUCCUGGUAUGACUUCUGUGGCUAAUCAGCUCCUAGGCCCUACCUAGAGACAUGACAGCUGCACUGAGGAAAGAGGCAAGACCAUGUACCCAGGAUGCAAAUCUAAGGUAGAGAGUUUGCAGAAGGUCCAGCUACAAUCAAGACAACAUAUCUGACUCCGAGGUUUGCAAUGUGGGGUUAGCACAGACUUCAGGUUCAAAAGUGUCUGACAUUACCAGUGCCAGCCUGUGGUCCUCAGCCUCAGUCUCAGGGUGAGGCACCAGCCCUAGCACUGACAUCUCCACUUCCAAGGUUUCUUGGCUUUCAGUCCUUUCCUGUGAAUCUCCUUCCCCUUGUCUUCUGCUGGGGGCAUGGGGAAAGGAUAAUCUCAGGACUUGGACCGUAACCAGUAACCCAUUAUGGGCCAUGAAGCUUUUCAUUGUUCUUGGAGGGGUAAGGAUGAGGGCAGUGGGAACAUUCAGAUUUGAGUCAUAGCUCCCCUGGAUAGUUGAUUAAGAGAGGUGCCCAAGUGCUCACAGUUGGCUCAUGGUCCUAUGUAAUUGUGGAACAAUGAACCCCUCAUCACGUACCCAUCAUGUCCAAGGGGAGGGAUAGAAUACCUCAUUCAGGGGCAUUGUAGUCUAUCUGUAAAGACACACCUUUCUGUGCCCCUUCCUCUGACAACAUCGUAGGCCCAGCUUAGGAAAAAAGCAGAAUUCUGAGAUCCUCAACCUCUAGAGAAACAACAUUACUAUAUUGCAAGUUUCUAAAGGCCCAAGAUUAGUAACACACUAGUGUUCAGAAAAGUGUAACUAAAAGCCUCAAGAACACUAGGAUCUAAACAUUUUUUUAAGAGUUAGUUUAAUUUAUUUAUGCAUACAAGAACUAGGAUGUAGGUCAAAAAUGCAGGGGGGUGAGAGGAUCCACCAGAGACAGAGUGGGGAACAGAACAGGCAGACUGACUGAAACACACUGCUGAGGGGAGCAGUGGGCCAGAUAGAGGAGGUCUGCUGUGCCAUGUGGUCAGCUCCCUGGCUGGGGAUCGAACUUGUGCUGCAGUGGCUGGUGAUAGCUUCAUAAUGCUGAGACUUUAACCCCUGAGGCCUUAGAGUCUAAACUUUUUAAUGACCAAUGCAUCAAAACCCUGCCCUUGAGUGUCAGCUGACCUUGUACUGUUCUCUUAUUCCAAAUGAAGGAAAUGUACUCUGAGCUCCGAAACUUGAAAGUCAUCUUUGGGCCCUUUCACAAAGAGUUCAUGUUUCCUUGUGAGUUCUCCCAUACAAAGCACUGCGAUCCUCUGUCCCUCACUAGCAAGGAACUCAGCCUCCUUGCCUUAAUUUCGUCUCCUGUUAAAUGGGGAUGAUCUUUUCUUCCUCUUAGGGAUGUUGUAGAAAUUAAAAUAAAAGAUGUAAUUUAAGAGGUGCGUUGAACAAGAUUUUUUUUAAAGAUUUAUUUAUUUGUGCACACAAGAACUGAGGUUGUUACCGGAACCCAGCUGCCUCAGCGGUGGAAGCAGGGGGAGCAGUGGUUCUUUCAACCUGCUGCUCCACCACAAGUCAGUUGUGGCAGUUGCUCCUCAGAGCUCAUAACUGCUGGUUUUUGUAAAGGACCAAUCAGGUGUGAGCUGUGAACUGAUUGGUGCUAAAUGGUCCAAUCAGACUUGUGGGUGGGACACCCUGAAAGAGGAUAUAAGCAAGGAAAGGGGAAAAAGGAGAUGACUACCCCAGCCCUGAGAGAAGAGGACGAGAGCCCCUGAAGAAAGAAGACAUCAGCCCCAAAGAAGAAAGACGACAGUUCCAGCCUCCGAGGAAGAAAGAAGGGGAAGACUCUGUUCCUGGCCUCCGAAGAAAGAACAGAAGCAUCCAGCAGCCGACCUCCAAGGAGGGAAGAGAAGUCGAAGGACUCUCUCAUGGACUGGACCUCGGGCCUGUCUCUGACAUUGUCUGAAAGGAGCACCAAAGGCCCUGGGCCUGGUGUCUCAAAGAGCUCUUUGUUGUUGGUGUAGCCCAACAACUCACAAAGAGCUGUUAACACUGGGUGUCUCUGACACCGUCUCUGAGGGACCAAUAGUGGCCAUCCCUACUGGCCAGUGCUGUCCAGCACUCCUGGUGACUAGUGGCGACCAUCACUGAUGCUAUCUGGGUGAGGUCGCAGCCACUUGUGGAUACACUAAGCUCUUUGUCUCCCCUGUUUGUAAUAAACCCCAAGGUUGUUGUUCCUGGAGCCUGCGGUCUCUUGCAAUUGUGUGUGCUGGUGAGAACCCACAGACAGUGACCUGUCCUCUUAUCGGACACAGUCCUCUGUUAGGCUAUAGUCCAUAGGCCCCUAUUGUGUGGGUAUUGUAUUGCUAUAACCCUUGGUUUUGGUUUUUGGCCAGAGGUGCAGGGGAUGAGAGGAUUCACCAGAGACAGAGUGGGGAACAAAACAGGCAGAUCUACUGAAAUACACUGCUGAGGGGAGCAGUGGGCGAGCCAGGAAAGGUCUGCUGCGCCAUGUGGGUAGCUCCCUGGCCUGGGAUCAAACUCGUGCUACAGUGACUGAUGAUAGCUUCAUAGUGCUGAGACUUAACCCCUGCUCCACCAGGGAGGCCCCACAGAAAAUUUCUAACAUAGAUAAGUGAUUCUUCUAGAUUAAUCUCUAACCCUUCCUUUUUUUUCUAUUCCCACCAUUCCUCCUUUUUGUAAAUACAUUGCCCCCCAGCAUAAUAGCUUAAAUAGCUUUCAUCAUCUCAGUUUCUGUGGGCCAGCCAUUUAGGCGGCUUAAGUGGGUGUUUGUAGCUCAGAGUUUCUCAUGAGGUUGGAGUCAAGAUGUUGGCCAGGGCUGCAGUCAUUGGAAGGCUUCUUGGGG